rnacentral:rRNA from 1 species
UGGGGAAUAUUGGACAAUGGGGGCAACCCUGAUCCAGCCAUGCCGCGUGUGUGAAGAAGGCCUUUUGGUUGUAAAGCACUUUAAGCAGGGAGGAGAGGCUAAUGGUUAAUACCCAUUAGAUUAGACGUUACCUGCAGAAUAAGCACCGGCUAACUCUGUGCCAGCAGCCGCGGUAAUACAGAGGGUGCGAGCGUUAAUCGGAAUUACUGGGCGUAAAGCGAGUGUAGGUGGCUCAUUAAGUCACAUGUGAAAUCCCCGGGCUUAACCUGGGAACGCAUGUGAUACUGGUGGUGCUAGAAUAUGUGAGAGGGAAGUAGAAUUCCAGGUGUAGCGGUGAAAUGCGUAGAGAUCUGGAGGAAUACCGAUGGCGAAGGCAGCUUCCUGGCAUAAUAUUGACACUGAGAUUCGAAAGCGUGGGUAGCAAACAGGAUUAGAUACCCUGGUAGUCCACGCCGUAAACGAUGUCUACUAGCCGUUGGGGUCCUUGAGACUUUAGUGGCGCAGUU